rnacentral:rRNA from 1 species
UCGGGAAUUUUGGGCAAUGGGGGAAACCCUGACCCAGCAACGCCGCGUGAAGGAUGAAGUAUUUCGGUAUGUAAACUUCGAAAGAAUAGGAAGAAUAAAUGACGGUACUAUUUUAUAAGGUCCGGCUAACUACGUGCCAGCAGCCGCGGUAAUACGUAGGGACCAAGCGUUGUUCGGAUUUACUGGGCGUAAAGGGCGCGUAGGCGGCAUGACAAGUCACUUGUGAAAUCUCUGGGCUUAACCCAGAACGGCCAAGUGAUACUGUCGCGCUAGAGUGCAGAAGGGGCAAUCGGAAUUCUUGGUGUAGCGGUGAAAUGCGUAGAUAUCAAGAGGAACACCUGAGGUGAAGACGGGUUGCUGGGCUGACACUGACGCUGAGGCGCGAAAGCCAGGGGAGCAAACGGGAUUAGAUACCCACGUAGUCCCUGAGCGGGCUGGCAAGGCGCAU